UACGAAGGGGGCGAGCGUUGUUCGGAAUUACUGGGCGUAAAGGGCGCGCAGGCGGCUCUGAAAGUCAGAUGUGAAAGCCCCGGGCUUAACCUGGGAAUUGCAUUUGAUACUCUGGAGCUUGAGUACGGGAGAGGAGAGUGGAAUUCCCAGUGUAGAGGUGAAAUUCGUAGAUAUUGGGAAGAACACCGGUGGCGAAGGCGGCUCUCUGGGACGGUACUGACGCUGAGACGCGAAAGCGUGGGGAGCGAACAGG
rnacentral:rRNA from 1 species